UGGAUGUGUAAUGAGACAGUCCUUUCUCAAAAUGUGAAUACUCAGCGCAUGGCAUAAAGAUUUGGUAGGUAAAGUGAUAUAUUGUAAUUUGGGAAUUUUGAGAUUAGAAUGAGAAGGAAAAAAAAAAAGACAUCAUGACUCUGCAGGGAGUUCUUUCUCAAAACCAACCAUGUCAAGGGAGAGACGAUGGAUUUUAUUUGAGUUGUCUGAAGUGCUGGGGAUGUUCUAUCAUGUGCUUAGGGCAGCGGAAAUAUUGUUAUUAUGAGUGACUGUAGGUUUUUGACAAUAAAGGUAGAAAAUAAAUUCUAGGUAAGAGCCAUGGCUAGAUUGCUAAUAGGAUUCUUCAAGAUGUAAACAAAACACUGGAAAAAAAACAAGAUAGCAUGUGUGUUUGUUCAUGCUUUACUGUGUAAAGGAAUUCUAUAGUGUUAGGAGUACAAAUCUGUGUUCCUUGCACUAUACCGCUAUAUUAACCUUUGGGCCCACCUCUCUCGCAUCCAACCGGCUCCUCCCCUCUCCCUGGCACAGAAAAGGUUAUAAAAAAAAAACAACCUUCUGUACCUACCCAAUUCC